ensembl:lncRNA
CCCCGUCUCCAUUCUGUCACCACAAUGGCUUCCAGCUGUAUUUCAGGAGCAAAACUUCCGUGUUCCUUUUUUUUUUUUUCUCUGUGGUACUGGGGAUCGAACUUGGGACUUUGCGGUUUCGAGGCAGGCGCCAGAACCACUGAGCUAAAUCCCUGGCCCCUCCCGUGUUCUGAUUAAAGCACCGUCGAGUAGCCUGGACGGUAGUGUUAAUUCCCAUCGUUCACACGAAGCUCUUCAGGGUUCCCCCUGCUUACCUUCCAGCUUCAGCUCCGGGCACUCAAGAUCCUGCACGCGCAGACGGUUUCAGGCCGGCCGCCUUUCUUCCGCGCGGAAUCCCCCUUCUACUCGCGACGCUCUGCCAGCAGCAGGCCCCAUCCACCAAAUACUCGCGAGCCCACGUGGCGGGCACUGCGGGGCCCAGGGUUGUUGCCCUUCCAGGAGCGCUUCCUGCCAUCCCUUCGGCUCCUUGGAGGUACAGCAUCCCGUACCGUGAAGCACGGCACCUGUCACCCAGUCCUAUAGUCCUGUAUGCGGACACAGGCUGCGCCUCGAUCAUCUCCCUAUCAAAGCACCCGAGGAUUGUCAGUUGGGUGAAUGAAAGAGUAACAGCGUACCCAAAACCGACGCUCUGGACCUCCGAAAUGCUUGCACUUCCGGGUGGCCGUUGGGCAGGCUCUGUGGGGAGUAAUGGAGGGAGAAGGGGCGCCCCAGCGCCCCACCCCCCCACUCCCGCAGGGACUGCUCUAGGAAGAGGGCUCGGUAGUCUGGAGGGCCUGGUGGUACGCGUGCGCAAAGAGAGGCUUCGGCGUCUGCGCAGUAGCCGCUUUCCCUGGGGAGGCGGGACCUACAGGAGCCCGGCCUGGGCGUGAGCACAGCGUUGGCCAGUUAGCGCGCUCGGUUCGCGGAGGGGCUGGGAUCGGCGCUACUGUGAGACAGGAAAGAGGAUAGAAACUGAGGCAGAGAUUAAGUGUAGCGGCAUUCCUGAUCUUGUUUCUUCCGGCC